UUAAGUAAACAUAUAUCUUCCACCAAAGCAACAAAGAAUAAUAAUAUAUCUUCCGCCAAAGCACAAAAGCCAUGGCCUGUAACAAGAGCUUUUCCAGCAAUUAUUUUCUAUUGACGCCAGAAGAAGUUGGCUUCUUUGAUCUGAUUCACAUUUUGUUCUCCACCACCAAGUUUGAGGAAGGAAAUAAGUUUUUAGAUAAGUCUAAGGUAGAGGAGAUCAACUUCAGGCGCAGAUGGUUUAUAUUUCUGUCCAUUUUGGGUCAAAAAUUUCUGCAGUUUGUGUCAAAGCCACUGUCAGAGUUGGGGUCGGGGAUCGAAGUGGCUUUGAACCUUAUACCAAGCAACCGCAAUGUGUUUGUGCUCAUGCUCAAUUUCCUCCGAGGGAGGGUGGUAAAGCCAGAUAAAACGUCGGCAACAUUUCUGUCAUUUAUUGGGAUUAUGGACAAGCGGGUGGAGUUGGACAGUAGCAUCAGACAUGAUGAUGCCAACGACCAUGCAGCACUCUCUGCGAUGGCUUCUAAAGCAUCAUAUGAAAAUAGUGCAUGCAUUGAAUCUAUUGUCAAGAAUCACUGGAAGAUGGAGUUUUUGGGAUUUUAUGACUUCUUGAAUGAUUAUCAGGGAAAAGCCACGACACAAGCCUUCUUGCUUCGUGACAAAACUUGUGACCAAGACACAAUUGUUGUGGCCUUUAGAGGAACUGAACCCUUUGAUGCAGAUGCAUGGUGCUCUGACUUUGACUUCUCCGGGUAUGAGCUUGACGGGGUUGGCAAAAUUCAUGGUGGCUUCAUGAAAGCUUUAGGGUUACACAAGAAUGAUGGUUGACCUAAGGAAGAAGUCAAACAAAAUGGUAAACCAGCCCGACCCCGAGCUUACUAUGCCAUUAGGGACAUGCUAAAUAAACUUUUGAGACAAAAUGAUGAAUCAAGAUACAUAGUGACAGGCCAUAGUUUCGGUGGGGCUCUAGCAAUUCUGUUUCCAGCGAUUUUGGCUAUGCAUGAUGAGCCAUGGUUAUUGGAGAGGUUGCGGGGGGCACAUUUGGGCAGCCAAGGGUAGGAGAUGAGAAAUUUGGAGAGUUCAUGGAAAACAAUUGAAAGAGCAUCGCGUUCCAUAUUUUAGAAUUGUUUAUGGUAAUGAUAUGGUGCCUAGCAGUGGUGGAUCCAUGAAGUUUUCAAAGGAGGGGCAAUAACAUUUUGAUAGGACGGAAUUUAAA